rnacentral:rRNA from 1 species
UACGAAGGGUGCAAACGUUGCUCGGAAUUAUUGGGCGUAAAGCGCACGUAGGCGGCUUAGCAAGUCGGAUGUGAAAUCCCUCGGCUCAACCAAGGAAGUGCAUCCGAAACUGCUGAGCUUGAGUACGAAAGAGGAUCGCGGAAUUCCCGGUGUAGAGGUGAAAUUCGUAGAUAUUCGGAAGAACACCAGUGGCGAAGGCGGCUCACUGGACCGGCAUUGACGCUGAGGUGCGAAAGCGUGGGGAGCAAACAGG